GCAGUUUUAUUUUUAAACUAGAUGCGCUUAAAAUGACAAGUAAUUAGGAUUGAGGGAAUAAAGCGAAACAUUGUAAAUACUUGGAAGUAUUCUUGAUAUGGAUAUUAAAAUUAAAAGACACAGGAUUGUGUGUAUUCGGAAUCUAUAACGAGUGCAACUCUUUUAUCAAGAGCACGCGAAUAUUUCAAUUAUACUUAAUGCAUUUUUUUCGACAUACAUGAUGUAUGUUUACUUCAAGUAAGAAUACAGAUAAAAACAGAUACAGGUAUCUUCUUGACGAGCAACAUUGUGUAAAUAUUGCGUCAGAUGUUUUAAAAAUAAAUCAUUGCAUCCGCAAUUUGGAAAAGGCUACGAGCUUUACAAAGAAGCGCAUUACCACGUUGCGCACCCAACUGAUGUAAUUCUGUUUGAUUUC